rnacentral:rRNA from 1 species
UACGUAGGGCGCAAGCGUUGUCCGGAAUUAUUGGGCGUAAAGAGCUCGUAGGCGGCCUGUUGCGUCUGCUGUGAAAGCCCGGGGCUCAACCCCGGGUCGGCCGUGCGGACUGGCAUGCUCGAGCACUGUAGGGGCGGGUGGAAUUCCGGGUGUAGCGGUGGAAUGCGUAGAGAUCCGGAAGAACACCGGUGGCGAAGGCGGCCCGCUGGGCAGGAAGGAAGCGUAAGCUUCCGGCUGACGCUGAGGCGCGACAGCGUGGGGAGCAAACAGG